UACGUAGGGGCCUAGCGUUGUCCGGAUUUAUUGGGCGUAAAGAGCUCGUAGGCGGCACGGUUAGUCAGGUGUGAAAUCUCCACGCUCAACGUGGAGGGGUCACCUGAUACUGCCGAGCUUGAGUCCGGUAGGGGAGUGCGGAAUUCCCGGUGUAGUGGUGAAAUGCGUAGAUAUCGGGAGGAACACCAGUGGCGAAGGCGACUUCCUGGCCUGUUCUUGACGCUGAGGCGCGAAAGCUAGGGGAGCAAACGGG
rnacentral:rRNA from 1 species